GUUUCAAUUCAGAAUUCAACAAGCGUAGACGAUACGGACUUUAAAAACGUUCAGUAACAAUUGUUGAUUUUGGCUACAAUUAUUGGUGGAACUGCAAAAUAUGGCAAACGGGAUUUCUAAAGCCUAUCACGCCUCGGCUCACCAGCAACGGAGAAUAUUUUAUGACAAAUGUAUCCACUCGUUGAUUCACGCUUCCCAAUGCAAAAACUGCCCUCGACCCUCUUGCAAGACCAUAAAACGCCUCCUGCAGCACUGGAAGAACUGUCAGAGCAAAAAAACGUGCCAUCAUUGCAGAAAAGUGGCCGCCCUCUGCUGCUAUCAUGCUGUAAAGUGUCAGGCGGAGAAGUGUCCCAUGCCGUUGUGUCCUGCCAUCAAGCGCCAGUACAAGGAGCAAAAGGAUAAUAAUAUAGAUACUCUGUUUAAAUCCGCAAUAAAAAUGUAACACAAUUCACAACAAAUAAAAAACCAAUUUUUAAAGCAAAAAA